rnacentral:rRNA from 1 species
CCUACGGGUGGCAGCAGUGAGGAAUAUUGGUCAAUGGACGAGAGUCUGAACCAGCCAAGUAGCGUGAAGGAUGACUGCCCUAUGGGUUGUAAACUUCUUUUAUAUGGGAAUAAAAUGUUCCACGUGUGGGAUUUUGUAUGUACCAUAUGAAUAAGGAUCGGCUAACUCCGUGCCAGCAGCCGCGGUAAUACGGAGGAUCCGAGCGUUAUCCGGAUUUAUUGGGUUUAAAGGGAGCGUAGGUGGGUUGUUAAGUCAGUUGUGAAAGUUUGGGGGGCAAACGUAAAAUUGCAAUUGAAACUGGCAGUCUUGAGUACAGUAGAGGUGGGCGGAAUUCGUGGUGUAGCGGUGAAAUGCUUAGAUAUCACGAAGAACUCCGAUUGCGAAGGCAGUUCACUAGACUGCAACUGACACUGAGGCUCGAAAGUGUGGGUAUCAAACAGGAUUAGAUACCCGUGUAGUC